rnacentral:lncRNA from 1 species
UGUUGUCGUAUUAACGCUCUGAACCAAGACUGCCUGCUACGUUUGUGAGCUCUCCCAUUCGAACUCGUCAUCCGGCCAAAUGGGCUUAUUCAGUAGAUUCCUUAGAUCAGUCGUUUGGGUCUUUUUUUUAAAGUCGUGGGGUGUUCAGACAUAGAGGACACCCUCCUUAAAAUACGCCACUCAAUAUACUACAAUCGACCAUCAAGCGUUCAGUUAGCCUUGGUUAAUUUUUGUAUCAUAAUCUUUUAAAAAUUAAAGAAGAACAUCAUGCUAGUUUAUUAAAUGUUAUCGACGAAUUUGACAAAACCAAUGAAUCACUUUUACCUAGGAAUAUUACAUUUCAUAAUCUUAAUAACUUGGACACUAAUCGAUUAGACUUGGAACAGAAAUCUUUACAUUCAGUUAAAAAUAAUUCUCAAAAUAACUUUAUUCUUACUGACCAGCACAAGAAUAUAAUGGAAAAAAAAAAAUCUUUAAAAGAUAUAUACAUGUAUAUU